UCCGCUCCCUGUGCCGCCGGCCCCAUUCCUUCUCCCCGCGCUAGAACAGAGAUGCGCCUCAGUAGGGCAGCAGCAGCAGCAGCGUCUCCAUGGACGCGGUGGCAUGACGGCUCCCAGGCACGGAUCCCCUCCUCUGCCUCCAUCCUCCACCUCUCCGGUCGCCCUGUUGCAACGUCCGAAGCAGCAGCAGGCGACCUGCAGCAGCUCCUUCCUACCUUCCAUGGACGAGCUCGAUGGAGACAUCGUCCAGCCUGACCACGGCCAUGACUACCCCACGCACAAGGAAGGUUGAUUCAUUUUAACAUAUAACAAAUUCAUUCCACCGAAGCCAUCUGCUCCGUCCACCAACCCGCCCAGAAAGGUAGUUACAGUGAAUUGAUAUUCGCACUGAGGCCGGAGGCGAGAGGCGAGGGCACGGAGGUCGGCGGCAAGUGCUCAAGAGAGAAGAGGAAGGCAGCGGCGCUGGGCGGCUGCGGUUUACACAAGAGCGAGGUGACCUGCCCAGAGAGGUAGUUACAGUGAAUUGAUGUUCAUAUGAACUUCAAUGUUGUGGCGUUUUUAUUAGAUCUGAGUUGUAAUCCUCAAUUUUUUUAGGUUUGAGUAGCAAUGCUCCUGCUCUACUAGCUAUGACAUUUUCCAUGUUUUUUCUUCUAAUAUCGUAUAGCGUCCAUGCUUAUGGGUUCAAUGACAAGCUUUUUUCACCUUCCAUCCUGUUUUAAGCUCUGUUGAUGGAUAAUUUCUGCCAUGUUUAUGGAGGGGGAGGACGCCAACUACUAGGAGAAUGAUCAAUUUAGCAAGUACAUGCUGUAAUUCUCUUAUGAUUAUGGAUUGCUGAGAAGCGCAAUCUUUUGAUCUUCGAGAACCGCAAGUUUGCUACAUUUAAAACACAUUCAUUAUGCAAGACGAAUGUCUAUGUUCAUCUACAAAAACCAAAGGAAGUAGCUUGUCGUUUGGAUAUCCCAAGCAUCGACUGGCGAGACUAUGGUUUGGCAAGCAGAGGUCCACUAGGACUGAGUGACGAACAAGCACAUGAAUGCAUGCAUCUUGUUCAAGCAUGGAUGGAAGAAAUUUCUCCUGAAAACAGGACUUGAGGAUAGAAGCUUCGAAUGGCUAGCAGAACCAAGGCCGCCGGGACACUGUCACAUUGAGGUAGUGCCAUGGCCGUAGGUGCUGAUGUCGCAUGGGCAGCACCGCGGCCGCGGGAUCGCUGUUGUGUAGUGCCACAGCCUCCGACUCGGUGUUGCGUGGUGGAAGAGCAGUGGUCAAGUUCGACGGCAUUGAAGCGAGAUGUGAGAUCCCAGCGCUCCAAAUGACGGAUCGUGGCCGUCGGAGGGCCAACAGAGGACAAGGGAUAACAACCGGUGGUGGAGGGCGAGUCUGAGAAAUCAUGAGCUUUUUCCUUCUAUGAAAAGUGAUAAAGUUGCAACAUAGUUUGCUCAAAGGUGUGCAUCAAUGCAGAUUGAGCGGCACAAUCUGAGAAGAAAAAUGCAAAAUUAGAAACGUGCAUCAUGUGUAUGUUGGCUGAGCGACGGUGUUGGGGGCUUGGUUGUGGCGCAGCCCUUCGGCGUGGGGCCCUCUUGCGUUGCCGCUAUGGUUGCCUCGCAUUGGACGGGAGGAGAUAAGUAAAUCCCCAAUUAAACUGGCAACAUCAUUAUGGAAGGGAAAUGAUUGGAUAACAAACUUUAUAGAUUUAGUAUCAUAUCAUUCAUUUGUGACAGCAUGAUCUUAAUUGCGCAUCUCUGAAUAUUUUAGGCCCUUGCUCUUGGAAGAUUA